rnacentral:rRNA from 1 species
UACGGGGGGGGCAAGCGUUGUUCGGAAUUACUGGGCGUAAAGGGCUCGUAGGCGGCCAACUAAGUCAGACGUGAAAUCCCUCGGCUUAACCGGGGAACUGCGUCUGAUACUGGUUGGCUUGAAUCCGGGAGAGGGAUGUGGAAUUCCAGGUGUAGCGGUGAAAUGCGUAGAUAUCCGGAGGAACACCGGUGGCGAAGGCGGCUUCCUGGACCGACACUGACGCUGAGGCGCGAAAGCUAGGGGAGCAAACGGG